CCUAAAUACAUUCUUUAUCUAUCC
rnacentral:siRNA from 1 species